UACGAAGGGGGCUAGCGUUGUUCGGAAUUACUGGGCGUAAAGCGCACGCAGGCGGCUCGAUAAGUUAGAAGUGAAAGCCCCGGGCUUAACCUGGGAAUUGCUUUUAAGACUGUCGGGCUAGAAUCCAGAAGAGGGUAGUGGAAUUCCGAGUGUAGAGGUGAAAUUCGUAGAUAUUCGGAAGAACACCAGUGGCGAAGGCGACUCACUGGACACGUAUUGACGCUGAGGUGCGAAAGCGUGGGGAGCAAACAGG
rnacentral:rRNA from 1 species